CCUGAUCCAGCAAUGCCGCGUGAGUGAAGAAGGCCUUCGGGUUGUAAAGCUCUUUUGUCAGGGAAGAAACGGUAGAGGCUAAUAUCCUUUGCUAAUGACGGUACCUGAAGAAUAAGCACCGGCUAACUACGUGCCAGCAGCCGCGGUAAUACGUAGGGUGCAAGCGUUAAUCGGAAUUACUGGGCGUAAAGCGUGCGCAGGCGGUUGUGCAAGACAGAUGUGAAAUCCCCGGGCUCAACCUGGGAAUUGCAUUUGUGACUGCACAGCUAGAGUGUGUCAGAGGGGGGUAGAAUUCCACGUGUAGCAGUGAAAUGCGUAGAUAUGUGGAGGAAUACCGAUGGCGAAGGCAGCCCCCUGGGAUAACACUGACGCUCAUGCACGAAAGCGUGGGGAGCAAACAGGAUUAGAUACCCUGGUAGUCCACGCCCUAAACGAUGUCUACUAGUUGUCGGGUCUUAAUUGACUUGGUAACGCAGCUAACGCGUGAAGUAGACCGCCUGGGGAGUACGGUCGCAAGAUUAAAACUCAAAGGAAUUGACGGGGACCCGCACAAGCGGUGGAUGAUGUGGAUUAAUUCGAUGCAACGCGAAAAACCUUACCUACCCUUGACAUGGUCGGAAUCCUGAAGAGAUUUA
rnacentral:rRNA from 1 species